CCUACGGGAGGCUGCAGUGAGGAAUAUUGGUCAAUGGGCUUACGCCUGAACCAGCCAAGUCGCGUGAGGGAAGACUGCCCUAUGGGUUGUAAACCUCUUUUGUCAGGGAGCAAUUGGCGCUACGUGUAGCGUUAUCGAGAGUACCUGCAGAAAAAGCAUCGGCUAACUCCGUGCCAGCAGCCGCGGUAAUACGGAGGAUGCGAGCGUUAUCCGGAUUUUUUGGGUUUAAAGGGUGCGUAGGCGGAAUGCCAAGUCAGCGGUAAAAUCGCGGGGCUCAACCUCGCUCCGCCGUUGAAACUGGCGUUCUUGAGUGGGCGAGAAGUAUGCGGAAUGCGUGGUGUAGCGGUGAAAUGCAUAGAUAUCACGCAGAACUCCGAUUGCGAAGGCAGCAUACCGGCGCCCAACUGACGCUGAAGCACGAAAGCGUGGGUAUCGAACAGGAUUAGAUACCCUAGUAGUC
rnacentral:rRNA from 1 species